AAAGCAGGUUGCAAUUACAGUGCUUCAUUCUGUGGAAGUACUGCCAUUUCCCUGCUGAGAGUAAAAUUGCUGUUAAUUAGUUGGACUCUUGUUCAGUUUGUAACUGAUUGUUCAGUU